rnacentral:rRNA from 1 species
GACGAACGCUGGCGGCGUGCUUAACACAUGCAAGUCGAGCGGAGCGGCGAACGGGAGAGGAACGCGUGAGUAACUGACACCCUCUCUGGGAUAACAGUUGGAAACGGCUGCUAAUACCGGAUAGUGGGGGAUGAUUCGCGUCCUAUCAGCUUGUUGGUGGGGUAGUGGCCUACCAGGGCGACGACGGGUGGCCGGCCUGAGAGGGCGUCCGGCCACAUUGAGCUGAGAUACGGACCAAACUCCUACGGGAGGCAGCAAUGGGGAAUAUUUCACGAUGGGGGAAACCAUGAUGCAGCCACGCCGCGUGCGAGAUAACGGCCUUCGAGUUGUAAACCACUUUCAGCCAUGACGCGGUAGUGGCAGAAGAAGCCCCGGCUAACUUCGUGCCAGCAGCCGCGGUAAUUC